GAGGGGUGGCAGAGUGGUUGAAUGCGGCGGUCUCGAAAACCGUUUGGCCCUUUCGGGUCACGAGGGUUCGAAUCCCUCCUCCUCC
rnacentral:tRNA from 1 species